rnacentral:rRNA from 1 species
AACGAACGCUGGCGGCAGGCUUAACACAUGCAAGUCGAGCGCCCCGCAAGGGGAGCGGCAGACGGGUGAGUAACGCGUGGGAAUCUACCCAUCCCUACGGAACCACUCCGGGAAACUGGCGCUAAUACCGUAUACGUCCGCCGGGAGAAAGAUUUAUCGGGGAUGGAUGAGCCCGCGUUGGAUUGGCUAGUUGGUGGGGUAAAGGCCUACCAAGGCGACGAUCCAUAGCUGGUCUGAGAGGAUGAUCAGCCACACUGGGACUGAGACACGGCCCAGACUCCUACGGGAGGCAGCAGUGGGGAAUAUUGGACAAUGGGCGCAAGCCUGAUCCAGCCAUGCCGCGUGAGUGAUGAGGGCCCUAGGGUUGUAAAGCUCUUUCACCGGGGAAGAUAAUGACGGUACCCGGAGAAGAAGCCCCGGCUAACUUCGUGCCAGCCGCCGCUGUAAGAC